rnacentral:ncRNA from 15 species
UACACUCGCACGCGUUUUGGUGCUCGCGCGUGCCGCUCCGGCGUGCGCAGUUAAACGGGAAACAGGGAGCCUGCCUGCACCGCAGUCGAGCCAACCUGUGCUGCCCCCGCAACGGUAAGCGAACGCGUCGCGCGCAGCGCGACGCAGCGCCGCUUCGCCGCAUGCCUGCCGCAUGCGGACGACCGCCACUGGAUGCCGCGCAUCCGGGAAGGCGAAGCGGCGUGUUCGUCAGCCCGGAUACCGGCCAGGACGUUGGGUUCAGCG